rnacentral:rRNA from 1 species
UACGUAGGGGGCAAGCGUUGUCCGGAAUUAUUGGGCGUAAAGAGCGUGUAGGCGGUCCGGUAAGUCAGCUGUGAAAGUCAAGGGCUCAACCCUUGAAUGCCGGUUGAUACUGUCGGGCUAGAGUCCGGAAGAGGCGAGUGGAAUUCCCGGUGUAGCGGUGAAAUGCGCAGAUAUCGGGAGGAACACCGGUGGCGAAGGCGGUUCUCUGGGCCUGACCUGACGCUGAGGAGCGAAAGCGUGGGGAGCGAACAGG